rnacentral:rRNA from 1 species
UACGUAGGGGCUAGCGUUAUCCGGAAUUACUGGGCGUAAAGGGUGCGUAGGUGGUUUCUUAAGUCAGAGGUGAAAGGCUACGGCUCAACCGUAGUAAGCCUUUGAAACUGGGAAACUUGAGUGCAGGAGAGGAGAGUGGAAUUCCUAGUGUAGCGGUGAAAUGCGUAGAUAUUGGGAGGAACACCUGCGGCGAAGGCGGCUACCUGGACAGAUACUGACGCUGAGGAGCGAAAGCAUGGGUAGCAAACAGGAUUAGAUACCCUGGUAGUCCCUGA